rnacentral:rRNA from 1 species
GACGAACGCUGGCGGCGUGCCUAAUACAUGCAAGUAGAACGCACAGUUUAUACCGUAGCUUGCUACACCAUAGACUGUGAGUUGCGAACGGGUGAGUAACGCGUAGGUAACCUGCCUGGUAGCGGGGGAUAACUAUUGGAAACGAUAGCUAAUACCGCAUAAUAUUAAUUAUUGCAUGAUAAUUAAUUGAAAGGUGCAAUUGCACCACUACUAGAUGGACCUGUGCUGUAUUAGCUAGUAGGUGAGGUAACGGCUCACCUAGGCGAGGAGACAUAGCCGACCUGAGAGGGUGAUCGGCCACACUGGGACUGAGACACGGCCCAGACUCCCACGUGAGGCAGCAGUAGGGAAUCUUCGGGAAAGUACGAAAGUCUGACCGAGCAACGCCGCGUGAGGGAAGAAUAGUGUCGGAUCGUAAAGCUCUGUUGUAAGGGAAGAACGGGUGUGAGGGUGGAAAGUUCACACUGUGACGGUAACUUACCAGAAAGGGACGGCUAACUACGUG